rnacentral:rRNA from 1 species
CCUACGGGGGGCAGCAGUCGAGAAUCAUUCACAAUGGGGGAAACCCUGAUGGUGCGACGCCGCGUGGGGGAAUGAAGGUCUUCGGAUUGUAAACCCCUGUCAUGUGGGAGCAAAUUAAAAAGAUAGUACCACAAGAGGAAGAGACGGCUAACUCUGUGCCAGCAGCCGCGGUAAUACAUAGGUCUCAAGCGUUGUUCGGAAUCACUGGGCGUAAAGCGUGCGUAGGCUGUUUCGUAAGUCGUGUGUGAAAGGCGCGGGCUCAACCCGCGGACGGCACAUGAUACUGCGAGACUAGAGUAAUGGAGGGGGAACCGGAAUUCUCGGUGUAGCAGUGAAAUGCGUAGAUAUCGAGAGGAACACUCGUGGCGAAGGCGGGUUGCUGGACAUUAACUGACGCUGAGGCACGAAGGCCAGGGGAGCGAAAGGGAUUAGAUACCCCAGUAGUC